GGUGGGUACGGGCAGACUAGAGUGAUGUAGGGGAGACUGGAAUUCCUGGUGUAGCGGUGAAAUGCGCAGAUAUCAGGAGGAACACCGAUGGCGAAGGCAGGUCUCUGGGCAUUAACUGACGCUGAGGAGCGAAAGCAUGGGGAGCGAACAGGAUUAGAUACCCUGGUAGUCCAUGCCGUAAACGUUGGGCACUAGGUGUGGGGGACAUUCCACGUUUUCCGCGCCGUAGCUAACGCAUUAAGUGCCCCGCCUGGGGAGUACGGCCGCAAGGCUAAAACUCAAAGGAAUUGACGGGGGCCCGCACAAGCGGCGGAGCAUGCGGAUUAAUUCGAUGCAACGCGAAGAACCUUACCAAGGCUUGACAUGAACCGGACCGCCGCAGAAAUGUGGUUUCCCCUUUGGGGCUGGUUUACAGGUGGUGCAUGGUUGUCGUCAGCUCGUGUCGUGAGAUGUUGGGUUAAGUCCCGCAACGAGCGCAACCCUCGUUCUAUGUUGCCAGCACGUGAUGGUGGGGACUCAUAGGAGACUGCCGGGGUCAACUCGGAGGAAGGUGGGGACGACGUCAAAUCAUCAUGCCCCUUAUGUCUUGGGCUUCACGCAUGCUACAAUGGCCGGUACAAAGGGUUGCGAUACUGUGAGGUGGAGCUAAUCCCAAAAAGCCGGUCUCAGUUCGGAUUGGGGUCUGCAACUCGACCCCAUGAAGUCGGAGUCGCUAGUAAUCGCAGAUCAGCAACGCUGCGGUGAAUACGUUCCCGGGCCUUGUACACACCGCCCGUCAAGUCACGAAAGUUGGUAACACCCGAAGCCGGUGGCCUAACCCGUUGGGAGGGAGCCGUCGAAGGGGAGCGUA
rnacentral:rRNA from 1 species